rnacentral:rRNA from 1 species
GUUGUAAUCUCGAGAAAUGUUUUCCGUGCUGGACCAUGGACAAGUUCCUUGGAAUAGGAUGUCAUAGAGGGUGAGAACCCCGUCUUUGCCAUGGACGCCCAGUGCUUUGUGAUACAUUUUCGAAGAGUCGAGUUGUUUGGGAAUGCAGCUCAAAAUGGGUGGUAAAUUCCAUCUAAAGCUAAAUAUUGGGGAGAGACCGAUAGCAAACAAGUACCGUGAGGGAAAGAUGAAAAGCAUUUGGAAAGAGAGUUAAACAGUACGUGAAAUUGUCAAAAGGGAAGCGCUUCAAGUCAGAUGUGUGGCGCGGUACUCAGCCUCACGGCGUUUUUACCGCGUUACUGGCCAGCAUCGAUUUUGAACGACGGAUAAGGGUGUGAGGAACGUGGCACCCUCUGGGUGUGUUAUAGCCUUACACUGGAUACGUC